CUUUCAUACGGAAGUUCGUUGUGUUGGUAGAGAGGAGAGUUUUACAACGUUUUGAAGAGUUGCUUCUUGCAUUAGUAGAAUUUUUUAAGGGCUAGUUUGGCUGCAGGAUUUUUCUUUUCUGGCAGACUUCGUCGAAAAGAUACACAUCCUAGCUUCAAGGCAACCAUUGAAUUGAGCAGGAAAAGGGGAAUACUCUUGUGGCCUCAUUGACAUUACAUCCACUCAGCUUCAAGAGUGGUUCUACCCAUAAUACAAGGAUAGAAUUGUUGCAGUAUCCAUAUACUCUGCAGUAUGGAGAAAACAGCAGCUGAGUCUCAUCGAAUGCUCUCAAGCACAGGACCAAUGAAGCUCAAUUUACAAAUGGUGUUUUGGAAGUGCUAGGCAAAGGAGAUCAUAUAACAGGCAUCUUCCUGGACUUUACAAAAACGUUUUAUGCAAUAGGUCACACAACUCUGCUAAAUAAACUGGGUGUAAGAGAGAUAGGAAAUGAAUGGUUUCAUGUGUAGAAAUCUCUCAAGCAAACUUCAGUCAUACCAUAAAACACCUUUAUAACCCAGAAUACAUCAAUAUUAGUGCUUGGCCCAAUGUACUUCUUGAUAUUACUGCCCUCAGGGAGCAAGUAGCUUCAGUAUGCACUGCACUUAAAAUAAUAAGUUCUGUGUGUAGUAGCUCAUACUCUAGAACAAUAUAUUUUGUAUACGUUCAUUCUACAAUUAGUUAUGGGAUAACCUUCAAGGGAACAGAUGAGCAGAAUAUACAAAAACUCUUUAAGCUACAAAAAAGGACUGUAUAAAUUACAACAAAAAGUAAUGCAAGAACUCAUUGCAUAGACUUGUUUACAUCUGUGGGAAUCUGACUGUUUCAUGUGUAUGCAUUUUGCGAACAGUGAUCCAAUAAAAAAAUACAUUGAAAUGAACAUGGAAUGAAAUCCAGCCACUGCUUACAUCUCAAUAGAAAAAACAAAUAAAAACCCAAAAAUGCAAUCAAAUUAUAGAACAACCUUCCACAAGAUAUCUAAGGCAAAAGUGAAGUAUAAGCCUUCAGGAAUAUCCUAAAAAUGAUAUGUCAAAGAUUACCUGAAAUGAUAUGUAAAUUUUGUUGACAGUAGUGCUAAUAAUUAACUACUGUGAUUAAGAGUCAGUUUACAACAUUUUCAAUAGAAUAGUGAAAUAUGAUGUACAAAAAUGUGACAUAGUAAAUCAAAUAA